AACUUUUGACAAUGGAUCACUUGGCUCUCGCAUCGAUGUAGAACGCAGCGAAAUGCGAUAAGUAAUGUGAAUUGCUUUCCGUGAAUCAUCGAAUCUUUGAACGCACAUUGCACUCCUUUGGAGUAUGCCUGUUUGAGAAUCUAUAGUAAUUAUUUCCGGUUUGGUUAUUCGUAACUGGUCAGGAAGAUUUGAGACUUCUCCCCGUUUGGGCGAGUAUCUUUAAACUUAUAGCCUCUUUUGUGGUGAAUUCCUCUACAGAACAGUAUUUGAAUGGAACUAACGUUUCUCAUAAUGCCACUUAAGUAGAGUCGCCUAUUGAAAAGGGGGUCCAUAAACUGAAAGUCAGUCUCUCGGGACUGGCUUGACCCAUGGUCUCAAAUCAGGUAGGAAGACCCGCUGAACUUAAGCAUAUCAAUAAGCGGAGGCU
rnacentral:misc_RNA from 1 species